UCUUAGAGUUUGCAGGCCGUCCUCCCUUUGAACAUUCACCCACCAGAUUUUAUACUCAAAAUGGAGACGCUCAUCCUGGAUUCCAGCUGCUGCAGUUUUGUGAACCCCUGGAGCCACAAGGUUGCCUUCAUCAUCGGUCAGCAUAAGGCUCAAACAGGCCGCUGCCCUGGCCUAGGAGCCCCCACCCCUAGAAACACGGCCAAUGGCUUUGGCCUUGGAAGAAUGGAAACGUGGCGGGCUCAUGAAGGCUGUCCUGCCCGCCCACACACAGAAGGAAGAGCAGGAUUAUGUGACAGAUUCCCGGAAAAGAUCCUGGUGGUGCCAUACAGCUCCUGCCGUCAGCAGGAAGGCAGAAGCAGAGUUCAGUGUUCCGGUGUGCAGGAAGCAGUGACAGCAGAGACUUUGCUGGUGGCAGUCGUUCUGUGGGAGUCUCCCCAGGUGGGCAGCGAGCUCAGAGUGCACAGGAGGAAUCAUGGCUCAAGACAGCUGAGAAGUCCGACUGGAGAGUGCAGAACAAACUCCCACCUCCGUUCUCAAACUCACCAGGUGCCCAAGAGUGCAAUUGGUCUGGGGCUGACGUUGACCCACACUCGCUGCAGCUGCCCACCCAGGCCUCCCCUGGGCGAUGCCGGCAUCCCACAGACUCCAGAGCUCCCAGGCGGUGACAGCGGACGGAUUCCAGAGCCGAUGGCUGUCUGGAGAGGGAGACAGGCUCCCAUGCUUCCUGCUCCACUGUCUGUGCAGAACCCCUCCCGACGCCCAGUGUUGAAGAAGAGUGAGCAGUGUCAGACUGGUUCUGGAACCUCGCUAGAAAGCAGGUGCUGGGCCAUCUACAUGCCUUUGUUGUGUGAAGGGUAUAUGAAGAGUGUGCACCAAAACAACUUACCUGUGCCAGGUAACACGUGA
rnacentral:lncRNA from 1 species